AGCCAAAAAUAUCUGCAUUCAACUGGCAACUUUCAUCUUUAGGCUUACAAAGAGGUCAGCUUUCUUUAAAAAGGAAACUGAAACUUACAUCACAAGGCAGCUUUUUAGGUGAUUUUACGUUCUACUUUACAAGCCUGACAAAUGGAAGGCAGAGACCUGGAAGAGUCAGUCGAAGUGCCUCAGAAUAGUGCAUACCUAUUGAUGGGAGCAAAUCAAAAGCUGUUGACUGGGCCUGCUUUUACUACACCAUCAAUUAUUUGUCAAGUCAUAGGCGCUCACCUCAGAAAGAAAAACAGAAACACAUGCUGGAAGAUGAGAAUAUACCAGCAGCAAAGUUGCUCAAACUACCAGCAGAUCAGCAAAAAGUGAGAAAAAGCAGCUGAGGUCAAGAUGGGAAGGCCAGGUACCCAUCAACAAUGAUUGCAGGAUUUUCACUGUGCACAUUUUUCUUGAAUUGAGGGCAGAGUGAUGAUGGACAGAGUGGUGAUGGAACCUCCUGCAUACUAAUAAAAAAGAUUGUGAGCAUCACUGAGGGUUUUGGUGGGGAGAAAGGACGGAGGGAAACUGACCAUUCUCACUGCAGUUAUCACAAUUAGGGGCUGAUGUCCUAGCUGUCCUAUUCAAAAAUCAAUGGCUAAUAAAAAACAUAAGCAAUACUAACUUAGACUGUCAAAACAGGUAUUAAAAUUUACCAUGCAGAACACAGCCCAUAAAAAUUUUGCACCUAGAUUUCUUUUUUCACUCUAAAAGGAUAUCACACUAUCACUGUUUUUUCUU